rnacentral:ncRNA from 1 species
GAAAACACGUUGAUCAGGAGAGUAGAAUUAGUGACCGGAUACAGCGACCUCGGCAUAGUGUGAGCGAGGAUCAGUUACUAAGACGAAAGUAGCCUGUGAGUGGUCGAUGCAACGUCAGGAGUGUCGAACGGGUGCGCCCGUAAUCGCGCCAGCGUAUUCAGUGAUGAGCACGUGGUAAGGUAAUGCUAGUAAUAUCAUUACAAACAAGGGUGGUAACACGCGGUAGCGUCCCUUCC